GGGGCUGCACCGGUUUCGACGUGGGUUCGGACACGCAGCAGGGCAUGUCGAGGUUCUGUUACCUCGUAAAACCGCAGAAAACAAAGUAACUGCAAACGACGAACGUUUCGCACUCGCCGCUUAAACACCGGUGAGCCUUGCAACGGUUGGCCUAUGGGCCGGGCCAGGGUGGCGCAAGCUGUCCUGGCUGCAAGGGAAUUCACAUAGGCUGGCUGCCACCGGUGCACCUUCGGUGGCGGCGAGAUUCAAGGGUGCUGGCGCCUUGAGCAGCGUGCCGCUGCGCGGCUCAAGGGGCGAGACUCAAAUCAGACGGCUACACAUGUAGAACUGCGCGGGAAUGGCUUGCGGACGGGGGUUCAAUUCCCCCCAGCUCCACCA
rnacentral:tmRNA from 1 species